GGGAAUCUUCGGCAAUGGGGGGAACCCUGACCGAGCAACGCCGCGUGAGUGAAGAAGGUUUUCGGAUCGUAAAGCUCUGUUGUUAGAGAAGAACAGUGAUGGGAGUGGAAAGUCCAUCAUGUGACGGUAACUAACCAGAAAGGGACGGCUAACUACGUGCCAGCAGCCGCGGUAAUACGUAGGUCCCGAGCGUUGUCCGGAUUUAUUGGGCGUAAAGCGAGCGCAGGCGGUUUAAUAAGUUCUGAAGUUAAAGGCAGUGGCUUAACCAUUGUAUGCUUUGGAAACUGUUAAACUUGAGUGCAGAAGGGGAGAGUGGAAUUUCCAUGUGUAGCGGUG
rnacentral:rRNA from 1 species